UACAGAGGUCUCAAGCGUUGUUCGGAUUCAUUGGGCGUAAAGGGUGCGUAGGUGGCGCCGUAAGUCAGGUGUGAAAUCCCGGGGCUCAACCCCGGAACUGCACUUGACACUGCGGUGCUCGAGUACUGGAGAGGAGAUUGGAAUUUACGGUGUAGCAGUGAAAUGCGUAGAUAUCGUAAGGAAGACCAGUGGCGAAGGCGAAUCUCUGGACAGUUACUGACACUGAGGCACGAAGGCCAGGGGAGCAAACGGG
rnacentral:rRNA from 1 species